GACGGAGGGUGCAAGCGUUGUCCGGAUUUAUUGGGCGUAAAGAGCGUGUAGGCGGUUUGGUAGGUCCGCUGUGAAAACUCGAGGCUCAACCUCGAGACGCCGGUGGAAACCAUCAGACUAGAGUCCGGAAGAGGAGAGUGGAAUUCCUGGUGUAGCGGUGAAAUGCGCAGAUAUCAGGAGGAACACCGGUGGCGAAGGCGGGUCUCUGGGCCGAUACUGACGCUGAGGAGCGAAAGCGUGGGGAGCGAACAGG
rnacentral:rRNA from 1 species